rnacentral:lncRNA from 1 species
UUUUUUUUUUUUUUCAAAGCACCUCAUGACUAAAUUACAUAGCAUUUUGGGGAGGUUCUGGUUAUUUUUCUUAAGUAGAAAAUUCUCUGUGUGCUUCUAUUUUCCCUCCAGGCCAUCACAGAAAGAGAAUAAAAUUUUAUUUCCCCCCUGCAAUUAUGUAGUUGUAUUAUUUUUGUAAUAGGCUUACCAAGAACAAGCUCCCUAAAUACAACCCUUUAAUUGAGGUUCACAGGGUUGAAAUUGAGAGAUAAAUCCUCUUUGCUUCUUAUUGGACCUUUUUUUAAGGUCAUUGUUGAUGACAAUUUAGAAAACUCAAUUCCUCUUCAGAUGCCCAGGUUUCUAAGACACACCUGGUAGAAAUGUGGCCAGGGCCAAGGUGGUGCGUGAGUGAAAUUAGGAGCUGGAAAGGCCCAAUUCCCACCCUGCCCUGGCCCCUACUGGCCUCAUGCCUUGAGCUCUGAAGUCAUAUAACAUAGGAGUUGGGCACCUUUAAAAUGGGGCAGUUAAGGAAUCUCAUCCAGUAGUUCCCUUUGUGGCUCAGAGGCUGACAAACCCAACUAGGAUCCAUGAGGAUGCGGGUUCGAUCCCUGGCCUCACUCAUGGGUUAAGGAUCCGGCAUUGCCGUGAACUGUGGUGUAGGUCACAGAUGCAGCUUGCAUCCCAAGUUGCUGUGGCUGUGGCUGUGGCUGGGAGUUGCAGCUCCGAUUGGACCACUAGCCGGGGAACCUCCCUAAAAACUAAAAAAAAAGAGGGAUUCUUGUCCAGCUAAUGAGAGCAAGGAGCUGAGGAUGAUCAAAGGACCCUUCCAAGGUGCAAAGAAUGAGGGUCAGUCAAAGGAACAGAAUGUAGAAACAGCAGGAGAGGAAAAUUGAGACCCAGCUGGCUUUUCCCUUCUGUCUUAAUUUAGGCUGCUCUAACAAAAUACCAUGCACUGGGUGGCUUAAACAACAGACACUUUUUUCUCACAGUUCUGGAGGCUGUUAAGUCCAAGAUCAAGAUGCCAGCAGAUUUGGUUCCUGGUGAGAACCCUCUUCCUGGCUUGCAGAUGGCACCUUCUCGCUGUGCCCUCACAUGGCAGAGAGUGCAAGGGUUCUGGUCUCUCUUCCUCUUCUCAGAAUCCCAGCAUGGGGGCCCACCCUCAUAUGUUCAUCUAAAUCCAAUUACCUCCCAAAGACCCCACCUCUAAAUACCAUCACAUUGGGUAUUAGAACUCCAACAUAUGAGUUUGGGGAAAUGCAAAACUUUCAGUCUUAACACCUUAUCUUUAUCUCCCCAUAGAGGGCUAAUAACCUCCACAAAAGGACUCAGGCACUAUACCCCAGAGUCUCACUGAAUCCAACGAAAACACACAGAAAUAAAAAGCACAUCUCACAGAGUUUAUUGGUACAGUGGGGAAAGUACAAUCUAGAAUCACAAGACUAGCUCAGAGACCUGCUCUAUGCUUUGGGAUAAGUCUCCUCAUUUGAGCCUACUAUCUCACCUGCAAUAUGAGAAUAGUCAUACUUACUCUAUAGGGUAUCUAUGAGGAUUUAAUAAGUUAGUUCACACAAAGUGCCUAGAACAGGACCUGGCACAUG